GAUGAACGCUGGCGGCGUGCCUAAUACAUGCAAGUCGAGCGAACAGACGAGGAGCUUGCUCCUCUGACGUUAGCGGCGGACGGGUGAGCAACACGUGGAUAACCUACCUAUAAGACUGGGAUAACUUCGGGAAACCGGAGCUAAUACCGGAUAAUAUAUUGAACCGCAUGGUUCAAUAGUGAAAGACGGUUUUGCUGUCACUUAUAGAUGGAUCCGCGCCGCAUUAGCUAGUUGGUAAGGUAACGGCUUACCAAGGCAACGAUGCGUAGCCGACCUGAGAGGGUGAUCGGCCACACUGGAACUGAGACACGGUCCAGACUCCUACGGGAGGCAGCAGUAGGGAAUCUUCCGCAAUGGGCGAAAGCCUGACGGAGCAACGCCGCGUGAGUGAUGAAGGUCUUCGGAUCGUAAAACUCUGUUAUUAGGGAAGAACAAAUGUGUAAGUAACUAUGCACGUCUUGACGGUACCUAAUCAGAAAGCCACGGCUAACUACGUGC
rnacentral:rRNA from 1 species